rnacentral:piRNA from 1 species
UACAGGAAACUCAGGACCCCUGGUGGUA